rnacentral:rRNA from 1 species
GACGUAGGGCGCGAGCGUUGUCCGGAUUUAUUGGGCGUAAAGAGCUCGUAGGCGGCUUGUCGCGUCGAAUGUGAAAUCUCAGGGCUCAACUCUGACAUUGCAUUCGAUACGGGCAGGCUAGAGUUCGGUAGGGGAGACUGGAAUUCCUGGUGUAGCGGUGAAAUGCGUAGAUAUCGAGAGGAACACCUGCGGCGAAGGCGGGUUGCUGGGCUGACACUGACGCUGAGGCGCGAAAGCUAGGGGAGCGAACGGG